rnacentral:lncRNA from 1 species
AAAAUAGAAAAAAAAACAUAUCCUAUUUGAAAACUUAUCAUAAGAACGAUCUAUUCAUGUUUGUUUUUUUUAUUGUUUACCAUGUUUUUAAACCACUUCUCCCGAAGCAAUGUGUUGCCUAUCAAUGCCUAAAUGUUCACUAUUUAUUCACCGGAGCCUUUUUACGACACCAAAUACGUAUCUUGAUGAAUGAGUAAUAUCAGUUCAGAAAUGCUAAAAUUCAACAUAUUCGAACGCA